UACGAAGGGGGCUAGCGUUGCUCGGAAUCACUGAGCGUAAAGCGCACGUAGGCGGAUUGCUAAGUCAGGGGUGAAAUCCUGGAGCUCAACUCCAGAACUGCCUUUGAUACUGGCGAUCUUGAGUCCGGGAGAGGUGAGUGGAACUGCGAGUGUAGAGGUGAAAUUCGUAGAUAUUCGCAAGAACACCAGUGGCGAAGGCGGCUCACUGGCCCGGUACUGACGCUGAGGUGCGAAAGCGUGGGGAGCAAACAGG
rnacentral:rRNA from 1 species